GGGCACUCUAGUGAGACUGCCGGUGACAAACCGGAGGAAGGUGGGGAUGACGUCAAGUCCUCAUGGCCCUUAUGGGUAGGGCUUCACACGUCAUACAAUGGUCGGUACAGAGGGUUGCCAAACCGCGAGGUGGAGCCAAUCCCUUAAAGCCGAUCGUAGUCCGGAUCGUAGUCUGCAACUCGACUACGUGAAGUCGGAAUCGCUAGUAAUCGCAGAUCAGCAUGCUGCGGUGAAUACCGGUUCCCGGGUCUU
rnacentral:rRNA from 1 species